rnacentral:rRNA from 1 species
GACAAACGCUGGCGGCGUGCCUAACACAUGCAAGUCGAGCGGUCGUCUUGAAACUUGUUUCAAGACGUCAGCGGCGGACGGGUGAGUAACACGUGAGUAACCUGCCUUUAAAACUGGGAUAACACCUCGAAAGGGGUGCUAAUAACAGAUAAAUGCUUUUAUCACAUGGUAGAAGUAUAAAAGGAGAAAUCCGAUUAAAGAAGGACUCGCGGCCCAUUAGCUAGUUGGUAAGGGUAAAGGCCUACCAAGGCGACGAUGGGUAGCCGGCCUGAGAGGGUGUACGGCCACACUGGGACUGAGACACGGCCCAGACUCCUACGGGAGGCAGCAGUGGGGAAUAUUGCGCAAUGGGGGAAACCCUGACGCAGCGACGCCGCGUGAGUGAAGAAGGCCUUCGGGUCGUAAAGCUCUGAUCUGUGGGAAGAUAAGACGGUACCAUAGGAGAAAGCCCCGGCUAACUACGUGCCAGCAGCCGCGGUAAUACGUAGGGGGCAAGCGUUGUCCGGAGUGACUGGGCGUAAAGAGCUCGUAGGCGGAAAAAUAAGUCAGGUGUGAAAAGUAUGGGCUCAACCUAUAUAGCGCAUCUGAAACUGUUUUACUAGAGUAUAGGAGAGGGAAACGGAAUUCCUGGUGUAGCGGUGAAAUGCGUAGAGAUCAGGAAGAACAUCAGUGGCGAAGGCGGUUUCCUAGCCUAAAACUGACGCUGAGGAGCGAAAGCAUGGGGAGCGAACAGGAUUAGAUACCCUGGUAGUCCAUGCCGUAAACGAUGGAUACUAGGUGUGGGUAUCGCAAGAUAUCCGUGCCGCAGUUAACGCAAUAAGUAUCCCGCCUGGGGAGUACGGCCGCAAGGCUGAAACUCAAAGGAAUUGACGGGGGCCCGCACAAGCAGCGGAGCAUGUGGUUUAAUUCGACGCAACGCGAAGAACCUUACCAGGGCUUGACAUCUGAGGAAUUUCUAAGAAGUUAGGAAGUGCCCUUCGGGGAACCUCAAGACAGGUGGUGCAUGGUUGUCGUCAGCUCGUGUCGUGAGAUGUUGGGUUAAGUCCCGCAACGAGCGCAACCCUUGUAUAUAGUUGUAAAUCUAUAUAGACUGCCGUGGAUAACACGGAGGAAGGUGGGGAUGACGUCAAAUCAUCAUGCCCUUUAUGCCCUGGGCUACACACGUGCUACAAUGGUGAGAACAGAGGGAAGCGAGUGAGGGAUCACGAGCGAAUCUCAAAAUCUCAUCACAGUUCGGAUUGCAGGCUGCAACUCGCCUGCAUGAAGCUGGAGUUGCUAGUAGUCGCGGAUCAGCAUGCCGCGGUGAAUGCGUUCCCGGGCCUUGUACACACCGCCCGUCACACCACGAGAGUCUGCAAUACCCAAAG